UAGCCUAGUGGUUAAGGCUAUGGAUCGCUAAUCCGGAGACAGUGGGUUCGAUUCCCGU
rfam:Aedes albopictus isolate Foshan contig24644, whole genome shotgun sequence.